UCCUCGGUAGCUCAGUUGGUAGAGCGGGUGGCUGUUAACCACCAUGUCGCAGGUUCGAGUCCUGCCCGGGGAGCCA
rnacentral:tRNA from 1 species